rnacentral:rRNA from 1 species
AUUGAACGCUGGCGGCAUGCCUUACACAUGCAAGUCGAACGGUAACAGGUCUUCGGAUGCUGACGAGUGGCGAACGGGUGAGUAAUACAUCGGAACGUGCCUAGUAGUGGGGGAUAACUACUCGAAAGAGUGGCUAAUACUGCAUGAGAUCUACGGAUGAAAGCAGGGGAUCGCAAGACAUUGUGCCACUAGAGCGGCCGAUGGCAGAUUAGGUAGUUGGUGGGAUAAAAGCUUACCAAGCCGACGAUCUGUAGCUGGGCUGAGAGGACGAUCAGCCACACUGGGACAGAGACACGGGCCAGACUCCUACGGGAGGCAGCAGUGGGGAAUUUUGGACAAUGGGCGCAAGCCUGAUCCAGCAAUGCCGCGUGCAGGAUGAAGGCCUUCUGGUUGUAAACUGCUUUUGUACGGAACGAAAAGCCCUGGGUUAAUACCCUGGGGUCAUGACGGUACCGUAAGAAUAAGCACCGGCUAACUACGUGCCAGCCGCCGCAGUAAAAC